AAUAUUGGACAAUGGGGGCAACCCUGAUCCAGCCAUGCCGCGUGUGUGAAGAAGGUCNNNGUAUUNUAAAGCACUUUAAGUUUNGAANAAGGGCUUUAGGUUAAUACCCUGAAGUUUUGACGUUACCAACAGAAUAAGCACCGGCUCACUCUGCGCCAGCAGCCGCGGUAAUACAGAGGGUGCAAGCGUUACUCGGAAUUACUGGGCGUAAAGAGCGCGUAGGUGGUUCAGUAAGAUGGGUGUGAAAUCCCCGGGCUUAACCUAGGAACUGCUUUCAUAACUGCUGAACUAGAGUACGGUAGAGGGUAGUGGAAUUUCCUGUGUAGCGGUGAAAUGCGUAGAUAUAGGAAGGAACACCAGUGGCGAAGGCGACUACCUGGACUGAUACUGACACUGAGGUGCGAAAGCGUGGGGAGCAAACG
rnacentral:rRNA from 1 species